CGCUGGCGGCGUGCCUAAUACAUGCAAGUCGAACGCACUCUCGUUUAGAUUGAAGGAGCUUGCUCCUGAUUGAUAAACAUUUGAGUGAGUGGCGGACGGGUGAGUAACACGUGGGUAACCUGCCCUAAAGCGGGGGAUAACAUUUGGAAACAGAUGCUAAUACCGCAUAAAACCUAACACCGCAUGGUGUAGGGUUGAAAGAUGGUUUCGGCUAUCACUUUAGGAUGGACCCGCGGUGCAUUAGUUAGUUGGUGAGGUAAAGGCUCACCAAGACCGUGAUGCAUAGCCGACCUGAGAGGGUAAUCGGCCACACUGGGACUGAGACACGGCCCAGACUCCUACGGGAGGCAGCAGUAGGGAAUCUUCCACAAUGGACGAAAGUCUGAUGGAGCAACGCCGCGUGAGUGAAGAAGGUUUUCGGAUCGUAAAACUCUGUUGUUGGAGAAGAAUGUAUCUGAUAGUAACUGAUCAGGUAGUGACGGUAUCCAACCAGAAAGCCACGGCUAACUACGUG
rnacentral:rRNA from 1 species